UACAGAGGUGGCAAGCGUUGUUCGGAAUUACUGGGCGUAAGGGCGCGUAGGCGGCUUGGUCAGUCCCGUGUGAAAUCCCUCGGCUCAACUGAGGAACUGCACGGGAAACUGCCUGGCUUGAGUUCGGGAGAGGGAAGCGGAAUUCCGGGUGUAGCGGUGAAAUGCGCAGAUAUCAGGAGGAACACCGGUGGCGAAGGCGGGUCUCUGGGCAGUAACUGACGCUGAGGAGCGAAAGCGUGGGGAGCGAACAGG
rnacentral:rRNA from 1 species